AACGCGAAGAACCUUACCUGGCCUUGACAUGUCUGGAAUCCUGCAGAGAUGCGGGAGUGCCUUCGGGAAUCAGAACACAGGUGCUGCAUGGCUGUCGUCAGCUCGUGUCGUGAGAUGUUGGGUUAAGUCCCGCAACGAGCGCAACCCUUGUCCUUAGUUGCCAGCACGUAAUGGUGGGAACUCUAAGGAGACUGCCGGUGACAAACCGGAGGAAGGUGGGGAUGACGUCAAGUCCUCAUGGCCCUUACGGCCAGGGCUACACACGUACUACAAUGGUCGGUACAGAGGGUUGCGAAGCCGCGAGGUGGAGCCAAUCCCAGAAAGCCGAUCCCAGUCCGGAUCGAAGUCUGCAACUCGACUUCGUGAAGUCGGAAUCGCUAGUAAUCGCGGAUCAGCUAUGCCGCGGUGAAUACGUUCCCGGGUCUUGUACACACCG
rnacentral:rRNA from 1 species